UCUACCAAGGUAAGGAUUCUUUUACCUUCCCCUUGACUCCUAAGUGUUUAGCUCAUAACUACUGUCUUCGUCCCACAAUAUAGUUCCUGUUUUCUUAUUUUGGAGACCCAAAAUAUUGUUCCUAUUUCUAUUUUUGGAUAGUAUGUAACGACCAUUGUACCCUUAUUUUUUUUAACUUUAUUCAUUGAACUUCUUAAUUUACCCUUAAAUUAUCCACCUGCAUUGUACUUUUUUCCACUUUCUCUCUCUAACUUUUGUCUAUAAUUGUACUUUUUACUUUUUUCCCCCUUAAAUUAUCCACUUGCCUAAUUAUUUUGUCAAGUUUUUGUCCAUUUUUAAUAUACUUCUCUUACUUCUCCUUCCAUUUCUAAAAUACUGUGAAAAUAAAUACAAUAUAAACUAUAUUAUUGAACGGAUGAAGUACUAAAUUUAAAAACCAUAAGGAUUAGGUUUAGUUAGAUGUUCCUUACCAAUAAAAAUAAAUAUUAAAAUAAAAAAGAGCGAACACCUCAAAAUAGUAAAAUGAAUACUCGGAUGAAAAAACCAUUUGCCUUCCCUCCAAAUUCAGGAUUUCUUCCUGCUAUUCCUCGAUUACCCUAAUUUAGAUUUCCAAGUAGAAAUAAGGAAAUUGAAGAUGAGGAAAUGUGGUCAAAUUCGUUGCUUCUUCCCUUGCAAAUUAAUCUGAGGAGAAUUUGAAGUUGUAAUCUGGGGUACAUUGAACACUGGUGUUUAAGGAGCAUUAUUAAUGGACUCAAUUAACUUCACCAAAAUGAGCCGUGGGCGAGUAUUUUGGUCAGACUUGCCCCCGGAGUUGUUGUCAAAAAUUGCUGCAUGCCUUGAGAGUCGAUCCGACACCCAGAACUUCCGGGCAGUUUGUAAGGCAUGGAAGAGAUCAAUCACAUUACAUGAUCUCACCUCAAAGAAUAUAUUAUCCCCUAUUUCCCCUACACUCUAGCAACCUGUGCUGGAAGUUGGUUAGAUGAUAGUGGUCCUUUCUCACCGGUUCUAGUGGCGAGUUAUGUUUUACUCUUUCAAUCAACAAUUGAUCCCAAGCUCCCACCCUGGUUUUUCACUGCUGAAGAGUUGCACCUUGGAAAGUUGUUUGUCAGCAGAUUGCUCUCACCAAUUGCCAUUAGAUUGUUGCCCUUUGGUUUCCCUAGGAAUUUGGAUUUAUCGUACAUUCAAGUAUGUGAGAUGGCUGUGUUCCAUAGGUUAAGGUUUGUUGAUGCCCCUGGGGAUAUGUUUGGGAAGAAGGGUCUUCCUGAUUUCAAUGAUAAAAGGGUGGUUUUGUUUGUAAAUCCUAAUUGUAGUAAAACUUACCCUACAAUUGGUGAUUGUACUGCCAUUGUUUUACAUCAUAGAGGGGCUUUAUGUGCAAUAAGGCUUAAAGACAAGCAAGAAUUGGAUGUGAGUUUCCAGGGAACCUUUCUAGAGGUGAGGAACUUUCAUGAUGUAAUUAAUUUUAAAGAAAAGAUUUAUGCUAUUGACCGCAGAGGUAGAGCCUAUAAGAUGGAUUACGAUACCUUAUCAUUGUUGCUCUUCAUAGAAAAUCCAUUGCCUGAGUUUUCAACCAAAAUUAGACGUCUAGCUGUAUCAACUGAUAAUCAAGAACUGUAUUUAAUAUAUAGAUGGUGUAAGCGUGGAACAAGAGAUGGAAUAGCUUUUACCAUUUAUAAGUUAAACGAGGGCGAGACAAAAUGGGAUGAAGUUGAAGGCAUUGGCGAUGAUAAAAUACUAUUUGUAACUUUUGACGGGAGCUUCUUUGCCUCAGCAGAGGAUUUUUAAGGAUGGAAAGGCAAUUGCAUUGUCUUUUAUAGAGGUUGUUUCACUUCAUAUAGUUCUCCUGUUCGCGAUUAUGAUGAUUCACUUUUUGUUUACAAUUUUAUGCUUGGUGAUUGUCAAAAUUUGGCAUCUUAUCUAUCUGGGGUGUUCUAGCCACCUCCGACUUGGCUACCAUCAAAUGCGUGUAUGCCCAAACGGGCAACAAAGGACGAUGAAGAGACUCAAUCUGAUGCUGACACUCCUGACAGUCAAGAUGGUGAAUCCCCUACUCCAAUUGAGCUUGACCCUGUGUUUAUGGAACAAAUUUUUGAGGCACCCUCUACCUUUGCAACACGCGGAAGCAUCUCACGAGGUGUGACACCUCUAUUCUCUCUAAAUCUGCAUGAACUUGCAGAAAAAAACAUUGAAAUGCCUUCAACAUCUGCAGCACGAGAAAGACUAACAAGAAUGGAGAUACCGUUGUCAGUGAUGUCUGAACUUGAAGUUGCUGAACCAACCACUGAGAUGGAUUUUACAUCUACAACCUGCGCGAGAGUCAGGAGAACGGCUGCCUUGAAUGAACUGGAGCAUGCAGCUGAAGAAGGGGAAACCAAAUGUAGACACCAUGUCUCAAGCAAUUAUAUAACCUCUCAGCAGAGCAACAAAAGUGAUAACUCAAUUGUCAAAUUCAAAGGACUUGAUGUAAGGUCUAACUUAGUCAAGACGUUGCAAAAUAUAUGGUCUAAGCAUGGAAACUUGAUAGAAAAUAGCAUCAUCCGCAAUGGCGACAUGGUUUCUAGGGCAUUAGAGUUGUUGGCAACAGCGGUUCUCAUUCUGGAAGAAACCUCAGUUCGAUCCUUGAGUGAUUCUCAAGCUGAUUACUUGAACACUACAUUGUCUGACCUGCAAUGUAUGCAUUUUAAAGUAGGCUGGUUAGUUCCUUACGUGGAAAAGGCUGUACAACUACACAAAAGCAAGCCAUUGAUGGAUUUCCGUGAUGAGGUACUCAGUUGCCAAGCACAAGUUGUAAAACGGAUAUCAAAGCUUAAUGAAGAACUAGCUGAACUAAAAAACCUGGAGAAAGAAUUGGAGAAAGAUGUGGCCAAUGUGUCUGAUCGAUUCCUUAUUCUGGGAAUGUAGAUAUGGAACAGCCUGUAGGAUGGGGCUUUUCUUGAAUGAAGUUUAUUGAUCUGCAGUUCUUAGCUUUGAAUGGAUGUUUAAGUAGCAUUUUGGAGUUUGGACUUUGAAGUGUGGCAAUAGUUUGCCUAAAGCACCUUUUUGAUGUGUAUGACAGCUUGGUGAAGACAAAGUCAGUUUCCUUCAGUCCCUAAUUUUUUUAGGAUGUUGUACAACUAUUAAAGGUGAUAGCACCUGCUAAACCAGCAUUCAUCGUUGAUCUAUUGAGCUGGUGCUGGUUCAACAUGUUAAGAUUGAAAGUUAAGAUCAGAGUGUUCUAUUAUAAGGAUGAUGAACGGAUGGUGGAGGCUAUGAGGUUUAUCUAGGGCUGAAUUUAGCCUGUAUUCAAAUGAGCAGCUAACGAUUUGUUGGAAUUAUUGAAUAUGAUUGAUUAGGAUCAAUCAGCUUGGCAAUAACGCAAACAAUAACAACAAAGCCUCGACAAUAACUCACAAUGCUUAAAUUUUAGCGUAAAUAAAUGAUAACAGUGUGCUACCAGUGUACCAGUUAUUCAGCAUGUAUUGGGAUUUUAGUAUACUAGUAUAUGCCCUAAAUAGGGUACCUGCUAGAUUAGUAGAUUUUGAAUGCAUAAAUUGAAGGGGGAAUUGGUAUGAACAUAAUCCCUUGGGGGUAUUUCAGAAGUAUAAAUGCUUUUGUUGAUCAAUUUGGUGGGAUUUUCAGGAGGGGAGUGAUAUAACACACUAGUAUUUCUGUUUUACAUAAGCUAGAAUAUGAUAAGGAUGGUUAUGGCAUGCCCCCACAAGGUAAUGACCGACGAGGUUGUGCAGAUUUGUGUGGAUCCAUAUCUUCGAGUUGCCUGCGACUAAUAAGUUUCGAGGUAGUGAGGGUCUUUCAAUUCUGGAAGGCUCCCUCUAAUCUGUAAUCAUUGUAAUGCCCUUGUGCCCUAUUUGUUCAAUUCAGUGUUAAGGCAAAAAAAAAAAAUAAAAAAAAAAAAUAAAAUAAAAUCAGUGGGUUCAAUGAACCAACUUGAAUCCACCGUGGUGGCUAGUGGCUACUGCCAAUGGAAAAAGAUAUGGCCUAAGACCUAUAUUUUUAGA